rnacentral:rRNA from 1 species
UACGGGGGGGGCAAGCGUUGUUCGGAAUUACUGGGCGUAAAGGGCUCGUAGGCGGCCAACUAAGUCCGACGUGAAAUCCCCAGGCUUAACCUGGGAACUGCGUCCGAUACUGGCAGGCUUGAAUCCGGGAGAGGGAUGCGGAAUUCCAGGUGUAGCGGUGAAAUGCGUAGAUAUCUGGAGGAACACCGGUGGCGAAGGCGGCAUCCUGGACCGGCAUUGACGCUGAGGCGCGAAAGCCAGGGGAGCAAACGGG